rnacentral:rRNA from 1 species
AUUGAACGCUGGCGGCAGGCCUAACACAUGCAAGUCGAGCGGAUGAAGGGAGCUUGCUCCUGGAUUCAGCGGCGGACGGGUGUGUAAUGCCUAGGAAUCUGCCUGGUAGUGGGGGAUAACGUCCGGAAACGGGCGCUAAUACCGCAUACGUCCUGAGGGAGAAAGUGGGGGAUCUUCGGACCUCACGCUAUCAGAUGAGCCUAGGUCGGAUUAGCUAGUUGGUGGGGUAAAGGCCUACCAAGGCGACGAUCCGUAACUGGUCUGAGAGGAUGAUCAGUCACACUGGAACUGAGACACGGUCCAGACUCCUACGGGAGGCAGCAGUGGGGAAUAUUGGACAAUGGGCGAAAGCCUGAUCCAGCCAUGCCGCGUGUGUGAAGAAGGUCUUCGGAUUGUAAAGCACUUUAAGUUGGGAGGAAGGGCAGUAAGUUAAUACCUUGCUGUUUUGACGUUACCAACAGAAGAAGCACCGGCUAACUUCGUG